rnacentral:rRNA from 1 species
GAUUAACGCUGGCGGCGUGCAUAACACAUGCAAGUCGAACGAUGAGACUUUAAUGACCCCUUCGGGGAGAAUUAAAGCGGAUUAGUGGCGAACGGGUGAGUAACGCGUGAGUAACCUGCCUUACACAAGGGGAUAGCCUUUGGAAACGAAGAAUAAUACCCUAUAAAACCAUAAAAGCACAUGCAAUUAUGGUCAAAGUGAUAGCGGUGUAAGAUGGACUUGCGUCUGAUUAGCUAGUUGGUGAGAUAAAAGCCCACCAAGGCAACGAUCAGUAGCCGGCUUGAGAGAGUGUACGGCCACAUUGGGACUGAGACACGGCCCAGACUCCUACGGGAGGCAGCAGUGGGGAAGUUUGCACAAUGGGGGAAACCCUGAUGCAGCGACGCCGCGUGAUUUAGAAGGCCUUCGGGUUGUAAAAAUCUUUUGUAUAGGAAGAAAAUGACAGUACUAUACGAAUAAGGUCCGGCUAAUUACGUG